rnacentral:rRNA from 2 species
UUGACCUCGGAUCAGGUAGGGAUACCCGCUGAACUUAAGCAUAUCAAUAAGCGGAGGAAAAGAAACCAACCGGGAUUGCCCUAGUAACGGCGAGUGAAGCGGCAAGAGCUCAAAUUUGAAAGCUGGCCCCCUCGGGGUCCGCAUUGUAAUUUGCAGAGGAUGCUUCGGGAGCGGUCCCCAUCUAAGUGCCCUGGAACGGGCCGUCAUAGAGGGUGAGAAUCCCGUAUGGGAUGGGGUGCCCGCGCCCGUGUGAAGCUCCUUCGACGAGUCGAGUUGUUUGGGAAUGCAGCUCUAAUUGGGUGGUAAAUUUCAUCUAAAGCUAAAUAUUGGCCGGAGACCGAUAGCGCACAAGUAGAGUGAUCGAAAGAUGAAAAGCACUUUGAAAAGAGAGUUAAACAGCACGUGAAAUUGUUGAAAGGGAAGCGCUUGCGAUCAGACUCGCUCGCGGGGUUCAGCCGGCCUUCGGGCCGGUGUACUUCCCCGCGGGCGGGCCAGCGUCGGUUUGGGCGGCCGGUCAAAGGCCCCUGGAAUGUAACGCCUCUCGGGGCGUCUUAUAGCCAGGGGUGCCAUGCGGCCUGCCCGGACCGAGGAACGCGCUUCGGCUCGGACGCUGGCAUAAUGGUCGUAAGCGACC